rnacentral:rRNA from 1 species
GACGAACGCUGGCGGCGUGCUUAACACAUGCAAGUCGAACGGAAAGGCCCUGCUUUUGUGGGGUGCUCGAGUGGCGAACGGGUGAGUAACACGUGAGUAACCUGCCCUUGACUUUGGGAUAACUUCAGGAAACUGGGGCUAAUACCGGAUAGGAGCUCCUGCUGCAUGGUGGGGGUUGGAAAGUUUCGGCGGUUGGGGAUGGACUCGCGGCUUAUCAGCUUGUUGGUGGGGUAGUGGCUUACCAAGGCUUUGACGGGUAGCCGGCCUGAGAGGGUGACCGGCCACAUUGGGACUGAGAUACGGCCCAGAAUCCUACGGGAGGCAGCAGUGGGGAAUAUUGCAAAAUGGGCGGAAGCCUGAUGCAGCAACGCCGCGUGCGGGAUGACGGCCUUCGGGUUGUAAACCGCUUUCGCCUGUGACGAAGCGUGAGUGGCGGUAAUGGGUAAAGAAGCACCGGCUAACUACGUG